rnacentral:rRNA from 1 species
AGACAGCAGUCGCCGCGGGAAUACAGAGGGUGCGAGCGUUAAUCGGAUUUACUGGGCGUAAAGCGUGCGUAGGCGGCUUCUUAAGUCGGAUGUGAAAUCCCUGAGCUUAACUUAGGAAUUGCAUUCGAUACUGGGAAGCUAGAGUAUGGGAGAGGAUGGUAGAAUUCCAGGUGUAGCGGUGAAAUGCGUAGAGAUCUGGAGGAAUACCGAUGGCGAAGGCAGCCAUCUGGCCUAAUACUGACGCUGAGGUACGAAAGCAUGGGGAGCAAACAGGAUUAGAUACCCGUGGUCCCUGUCUCUUAUACAC